GAAAAUGUGGCCUGUAGGCAUUCUGUUGUGUGGGGGAAGGGACCAGAGACACUGGGACAACCAGCAGCCUCUGCCUCAGACAUUAGCUGUGGUCGUUCCUUAACCCUGUUCUUGAUCACAGACAGUGAGAGACAAGGAAGGCCUGUCGGAUAAUUGUGGUAUAUCCACAUGGCAGAAUACAAUGUAGUCCUUAAAAGGAGGUGCGACUAAUGUACUGUGUGCACUAAUGAAGCCCUGGCAGAAGAAUGUCCCCAUAGGAGAACCCUCUUGGCCCUAUUUGUGGUCACCUCUUUUUACAGAAGGAAGAAGACAGACCAGAGUUCAGCAGCCUGGCUUUUGUGUUUUGUGGGGGUGCAGUAAUCUUCGGUGCUUGUGAAAAAUGUAAAGCAUCAUCCAAAUGCAAAGGGUUGCUAUUACCCACUGAGAAAGAAGCCACAGACCUCACACAGGAAAUUCUGCCCUGGGCCUCAGACAGGCAGUGUGGGACCUGAAGGUCGACAGGGAACUGUUGACCUGUUAGCCAGGCCUGAGGGGGCUCUGCAUGCAGGAAGCCCCACAUGGUAGGUCACCAUGGCGACGGGGUGAGAAGCCACAGCCCCUAACUGCCACCUCCUCCUCUCGGCUCAGGCAGGUGUCCCAGCCCUUCUGUCCCCAGUGUCCUCCACUGUACGGUGGGGAGUCUUAGUCUCCCCCUCAUUGCUGUGAAGAUGAAACGAGCUAAUAGAUGUGAAGCACUUGUCACCCCAGCGCUGAGGAUGUAGUAGAUGUUGUGAAAUAACAGUAACGAUGACAAUGUCUA
rnacentral:lncRNA from 1 species